GGGGAUGAAAGCUUUCGAUGAAGAGAUCUUUGAAAUAAUGCAAGCUCAGUAUUCUGAAACCUGGUUAAACUUUCAGAAAACUAAUAAUUGCCAACUUAUUUACUAAGAAGCAACCAGCACUAGCUUUCGCUUAAUGCUGCAUCUUUAUUGUUAAUUCUCGAUAAGCAAAUAAAGGUGUUAUAUUAUCGAGAUAGGUUACUUUUUUCUCCGCAGGGUAACUAAAAUUAAGGAGAUAAGGUAUUAAACAUUUUUUCUGUUUCUUAUUUAGUACCCUUGGGGCUACAGAAUAUAUUAGAACUUGAUUUAGCGAACGAAUUUUUAGACAAAUUCAAGGCGUGAGGAGUGUAGCGUACCCUUUGCGGUACGCAAUACCUCCGAAGCAACGAAGAAUUUGGCAAAAAUUCGUUCGCCCUCCGGGAAGUGAAAAAAUGGCUGAUUUCUUCAGAUUUUCUCGUCGACGAUGCGCAAAGGCAUCGCCUUCUCAAAAGAUCUCAUGAACUCAUCUCAUUUUUUCGCUUCUAAAACAAAUUAUAAUAUAUUCUGUAGCCCUAAAACAAAACAGGAUAAGCUUGUAGAUAUUAUUUUAAAAACUUUUCAGACGAGGACUCACCUCCUCCAUCUCCACAG
rnacentral:tmRNA from 1 species